rnacentral:rRNA from 1 species
AGCGAACGCUGGCGGCAGGCCUAACACAUGCAAGUCGAACGAACUCUUCGGAGUUAGUGGCGGACGGGUGAGUAACACGUGGGAACGUGCCUUUUGGUUCGGAAUAACUCAGGGAAACUUGUGCUAAUACCGGAUGUGCCCUUCGGGGGAAAGAUUUAUCGCCAUUAGAGCGGCCCGCGUCUGAUUAGCUAGUUGGUGAGGUAACGGCUCACCAAGGCGACGAUCAGUAGCUGGUCUGAGAGGAUGACCAGCCACACUGGGACUGAGACACGGCCCAGACUCCUACGGGAGGCAGCAGUGGGGAAUCUUGCGCAAUGGGCGAAAGCCUGACGCAGCCAUGCCGCGUGAAUGAUGAAGGUCUUAGGAUUGUAAAAUUCUUUCACCGGGGACGAUAAUGACGGUACCCGGAGAAGAAGCCCCGGCUAACUUCGUG